rnacentral:lncRNA from 1 species
CUCCUUCAUCAACAAAACGACACGCUGUCAAGGGCUCAUAGGUCCUCCCUCCCAUGAUGACAUGGUUGAUAUUGAUCUCUUCCUAUUAAAGUGCAAGAGCUUUGUGAGUGUGUCUACACAUCUCACUCAUUUGCUUCCAAGAAGAAACCUCAAAGUUCGGUUUUUCUGUGCAUUUUAGUCAUCAAUGGCUGCAGCUUCAAGUGAUUCCGUGCCCUCUGUAAACAAGGCUUGGGUGUACUCAGAAUAUGGAAAGGCUGCAGAUGUUUUGAAACUUGAUCCCAAUGUUCCUGUUCCUGAACUAAAGGAAGACCAGGUGCUCAUCAAGGUGGUUGCUGCAGCUCUUAACCCAGUUGAUUACAAGAGGAUGUUUGGGUAUUUUAAAGCCACCGACUCUCCUCUACCUGUGAGAGCCUCUUUCUCUUUCAUUUUCUUUUUAAUGCAUUUGCUUGUAUUUUGAAUUGGGGUUUUGAAAAUAAUGUUUAUUUUUAGGAAUUUAUAGUUUUUCUUUUUUCCUUUUUAAUUGUUUGGCAGUCCAGUCUGAAAAUAUGGCCUGCUGUUGUUGGAUCCAUUUUGCUGUAUAAUUGGCCUUUCUUCUUUUUUGAUACAAGUAACAAAUUUUGUGCAAAUCUAAAUACUUUAGAAAAAAAAAAAAAAAAGGGUAAAUGCUUUGAAGAAUCAAAGUAAAUUUCAUCUAGUUGAUCAUGAAGGAAGUUUUGUCACCUUGUUAUGUUUCUAUUGCAAGUUCCCAUUAGCAUUAUUAUAUUCCUAGUAAUCAGCUGGAAUCAAUUUGUUUUGCAGACGGUUCCCGGGUAUGAUGUUGCUGGUCUGGUGGUGUAGGUGGGAAGCCAAGUAACAAAGUUUAAGGUGGGGGAUGAAGUAUAUGGGGAUCUCAAUGAGAAAGCUUUGGAGAACCCAACGAGGUUUGGGUCUUUGGCAGAGUACACUGCUGCAGCAGAAAGAGUUUUGGCUCUCAAACCCCAAAAUCUGAGUUUUGUUGAAGCUGCUAGCCUUCCCCUGGCUAUUGAGACUGCCUAUGAAGGGCUUGAACGAACUGAAUUUUCUGCUGGUAAAUCCAUUCUUGUUUUAGGAGGCGCUGGGGGAGUGGGAACACAUGUUAUUCAGGUAAAGUAGUUUGAUUUCUAAUUCCAGAAUGUCCUCAUGCUUUAUAUAACUCAAUCUGCACAUGGAAUUAGUUAAGAAGUGCAAACAUUUCCACUAAUUUGGGCAGCUAGCAAAGCAUGUUUUUGGUUCUUCAAAAGUAGCAGCAACUGCAAGCACUAGAAAACUGGAGCUGUUGAGAAGCUUGGGUGCUGAUUUGGUUGUCGACUACACCAAGGAGAAGUAUGAAGAACUGCCUGAGAAAUUUGAUGUGGUAUAUGAUACAGUUGGUAAGAUUCUUCAUUCUGGUUUCUCAACAAUUCUAUACAUUAUGUAAUCCAUAUAUGGCAUGCACCUACCAACAGGGGAAUCUAUUAGUUUAUUUAUUUACCAGGAAUGAAUCAAAGACUGAUAUUAUUGUAUGAUGUUUUUGGAAAAAAAAAAACAGGGGAGUCUGACAGGGCGGUGAAGGCAGUAGUCUGACAGGGCGGUGAAGGCAGUGAAAGAAGGAGGGAAGGUAGUGACAAUAGUACCAGGUCCAGUAGCAGCAGGGGCCUUCAUAUUUAUCCUGACUUCAACUGGGACUAUAUUGGAGAAGCUGAAGCCAUACUUGGAGAGUGGGAAGGUGAAGCCGGUGCUUGAUCCCACAGGCCCAUAUCCCUUUUCCAAGACUGUUGAAGCAUUUGCUUACCUUGAAACCUCCAGGGCUACAGGGAAGGUGGUUGUGCAUCCCAUCCCAUAAGAAAGAUGGAAGAGAUUGUGCAGGCAGGCAGGCAAUCAGUCAGUUUGUGGGUUACGUAUUUCUAAUCUGCUGGUUGUGUAAACUUAGUGUUGUAAUAAUGGGUAUGUGAGAUGCUUAUAUAUUAUAAUAUGAAGUUGAGAGAUUUGCUUAUGUAUAUGUGACUUGUGGAAAGUAAGAAAAAAAAAAGAAAUUAAACUUUUUUCCAAGUGCAUUGUUCUGUUCUAUGACAGGAUUUGUAACUUGCUAUUCUCUGGCCUAGUUUACAAAG